GUUCCCUUAGCUCAACGGCAGAGCGCUCGAAGCUACGAUCGAGAGGAUCCGUGUUCAACCCACGGAGGGAACA